AGCGAACGCUGGCGGCAUGCUUAACACAUGCAAGUCGCACGGGCGGGGGCAACUCCGUCAGUGGCGGACGGGUGAGUAACGCGUAGGAAUCUAUCCUUGAAUGGGGGACAACCGUGGGAAACUACGGCUAAUACCGCAUGAUGCCUGAGGGCCAAAGACGAAAGUCGUUUGAGGAGGAGCCUGCGUCUGAUCAGGUAGUUGGUGGGGUAAAGGCCUACCCAAGCCUACGAUCAGUAGCUGGUCUGAGAGGAUGAUCAGCCACAUUGGGACUGAGACACGGCCCAAACUCCUACGGGAGGCAGCAGUGGGGAAUAUUGGACAAUGGGCGCAAGCCUGAUCCAGCAAUGCCGCGUGGGUGAAGAAGGUCUUCGGAUUGUAAAGCCCUUUUGGCGGGGACGAUGAUGACGGUACCCGCAGAAUAAGCUCCGGCUAACUUCGUG
rnacentral:rRNA from 1 species